UGCAGCAAGAACGCUCGUAGAAUAUUAUAAAUAUCUCAACAAUAAUAAAGAAAUGGUCAUUUCUACAACCGAAGCCCUUCAGCUUAGAUUUUUCUGAAUCGAAAUAUCCAACUCCCGAACUGCUCACUUGAAUAUUGGCACGUCCAUCUUGGUUGAUACGAACAGUUGUCACGAAGAUAUUUUGUCGCACGCUAGGUUUCUUGACCAGGGGAUCGGCAGUGAGGUGUGCUUGCGAUGCUACCAAUGAUAGCGGCAAUGCGGUUGAGGGAACGACCGACAAUGUUCUGGCCAGAGCAAAAGAAAUCGCUCUGGCAUUCAACGCCGGGAAAACUUCGCAGUGGAAGACCAUUCUUGUCAAAUUAGCUCGGAGGACCACAAAGCCCUCGAGGGUCGCUUUGGAAGCUGCCAAUCAUGGAAUAUCAUAUACAAACAAAGAUGCAACAGGUGAAAAUUUGUGAAGUAAGCAACACCUCCGCCGCAGCAGCGGCGACCGCCAGCAGCGGCGUUUGCAUCAACGCCGUGCAGCGGAGGCGGAAACCACCUCCCAUUUGUCCAGAAGGAAAGAAAUCGCUCUGGCAUUCAACGCCGGG